UGUGUGUGUGUAUUUUCUUACUUCUGAAGGGCAUUAUUGAGUUCUGCUGAAGGGUCACUGUCACUGAAGCUUCUUAGCUCUGACACAAUCACUGAAGAGUCCUGGAAACAAAGCAUAUUGUCAAAUUAACCAGGAGAAGCUUUCUGUUUCUUUUCAGUCUUCAAACAGCAAUCGGAGGAAACCCACUUCGGAGCUCUUCAAUAUCCAGGUUAAAUUCACUUAAAGGGUCUGUUACAUGGAAGAUUGAAACUGCAGAAGAGCUCAACAAAACAGGAUUCAACCAAUAGGCCCCCUGCUCGUUGGUUUGUCUCUGAUUCUGUGCAUUCCUGGGUCCUCCAGUGGGGUCACUCUUCCCACUUCCAGCCAUACUGUGGGGCUGCUAAGCACAAGCAGUGGCUGCGGUUCAGCACCUUGGAUAGAAUUCACCUUCUAAACUAGAGUGCAAAGCGGAGUGGAGGAAACUGCACCAAAACUCAGCGGGCCAAUCAGGAGCACCGCUAAUCUCUUGACCCUCUGGCAGGAGAAGACAGCUGGCUCCGCUGGCCACACCAGAUUCCUCUGAAUAGACCAUGUUCACCUUGGAACCAGCAAAGCUCCACCAGACUUCAGCUCCACUCCCAGCAAGGGUGACGGCAACUGCUUUCUAGCAGCCAUUUAAGAUGCCUUGCAACAGCAAAUGAGAACAGAGAAAAAGGAGGCUUCAGAGUUUGUCUUUGCUGUGACCGUGCAAAAAUGGCUUCCUUAUGCUCCUGAACAGCUUGGUGCCAUUGCUCAGGGUGGAAAGCCAUAACUGUUCAUCAGUAUAAAAGACU